UGCAUGGGGCUGGAGGUGGAACUUUUGUCUUAAUCCAGCAAAAUGUCCAGCAGUCUAAAAAGGGGUUCCUUCAGAACCGGUCUAUGUGUAAAGAAAGGCACAACCAUAGAGUGAACGUAUAGCGGAGGGCUCUGCAGUCAUGCUGUCCCGAAAGGUAACACUACUGGAAGCCUGGGAGAGGCACAGGACCUUUCUGAGGAAGAAAGCUAAAGACCUGAAAGAUGCCCUUGUGGAUAUUCACUUUUAAGGAGGAGGGUGGUGAUUGGGGAUCCACAGUCUCAAUGUUAGGUUGCGAGUUAGAAGUUCUCUGUUUGUCCUUAAAGAUGUGAUGGUAGUCAGUGCUCGAUUAUCGACAUGGUUGGUACACUCAGAAAAUAACUUUAAUAAAAUAAUAAUGUCCUAAAUUGAAUGAACCACAUUGGUCGUUGUAUGCAAGAGGGAAUGGGUUUGAUUCUCAGCCAAAGUCGACAGGUUUUGUUGUACUACGUAACAUUUUAUCUACAUAUAUUCUAUUGUGAUGAUUUUAUCCUGGAUUUUGUCAAUAUUUUGUGAUGAGUACAGCAAAGCAGAUAUUCAACGCAUUAUUUUACAAUUUUAACACAUUAUUUUACCAUCUUUAACACAUUAUUUUACAAUCUUUAACACAUUAUUCUACCAUCUUUAACACAUUAUUUUACAAUCUUUAACACAUUAUUUUACAAUCUUUAACACAUUUUUUUUACCAUCUUUAACACAUUAUUUUACAAUCUUUAACACAUUAUUCUACCAUCUUUAACACAUUAUUCUACCAUCUUUAACACAUUAUUUUACAAUCUUUAACACAUUAUUCUACCAUCUUUAACACAUUAUUUUACAAUCUUUAACACAUUAUUCUACAAUCUUUAACACAUUAUUCUACCAUCUUUAACACAUUAUUUUACCAUCUUUAACACAUUAUUCUACCAUCUUUAACACAUUAUUUUACAAUCUUUAACACAUUAUUCUACAAUCUUUAACACAUUAUUCUACCAUCUUUAACACAUUAUUUUACCAUCUUUAACACAUUAUUUUACAAUCUUUAACACAUUAUUCUACAAUCUUUAACACAUUAUUCUACCAUCUUUAACACAUUAUUUUACCAUCUUUAACACAUUAUUCUACCAUCUUUAACACAUUAUUUUACAAUCUUUAACACAUUAUUUUACCAUCUUUAACACAUUAUUCUACCAUCUUUAACACAUUAUUUUACAAUCUUUAACACAUUAUUCUACAAUCUUUAACACAUUAUUCUACCAUCUUUAACACAUUAUUUUACCAUCUUUAACACAUUAUUCUACCAUCUUUAACACAUUAUUUUACAAUCUUUAACACAUUAUUCUACCAUCUUUAACACAUUAUUUUACAAUCUUUAACACAUUAUUCUACCAUCUUUAACACAUUAUUUUACAAUCUUUAACACAUUAUUUUACAAUCUUUAACACAUUAUUCUACCAUCUUUAACACAUUAUUUUACAAUCUUUAACACAUUAUUUUACAAUCUUUAACACAUUAUUCUACCAUCUUUAAUUAACACAUUAUUUUACAAUCUUUAACACAUUAUUCUACAAUCUUUAACACAUUAUUCUACAAUCUUUAACACAUUAUUCUACCAUCUUUAACACAUUAUUUUACCAUCUUUAACACAUUAUUCUACCAUCUUUAACACAUUAUUUUACAAUCUUUAACACAUUAUUCUACCAUCUUUAACACAUUAUUUUACCAUCUUUAACACAUUAUUCUACCAUCUUUAACACAUUAUUUUACAAUCUUUAACUCAUUAUUUUACAAUUAUUGCAACUGGAAUUUUGAGAAAUUAUAUGAUACAAAUUUGUAUUUCCUUGAUUAAUCAACUGGAACAUAACUUUUUAAUUUUUUUAAAUUAGUUGUUCAGUAACCUAGCGUGACGUCUGUGUGUGUGCGUGCAUCAGUGGAGAUUUUAGCAUGUACAGUUGAAGUUGGAAGUUUACAUACACUUGGAGUCAUUAAAACUAGUUUUUAAACUACUCCACAAAUGUAUUGUUAACAAACUAUAGUUUUGACAAGUCGGUUAGGACAUCUUCUUUGUGCAUGACACAAGUAAUUUUUUCAACAAUUGUUUACAGACAGAUUAUUUCACUUAUAAUUCAAUGUAUCACAAUUCCAGUGGGUC
ensembl:lncRNA